GUGGGGUCAUGGGGUCGAUGGGUGACAUGGGUGGGGUCACCAAUGGGAUCAUCGGUGACAUCAGUGGGAUCAAUAGGAUCACUGGAAUGGAUGGGAACAUCAGUGGGUUGGGUGGGAUCAUCAGUGGGGUCAUGGGAUGGAUGGAUGACAUGGGUGGGGUCACUGGUGGCAUCAGUGGGAUCAGUGGGAUCGCUGGCAUGGAUGGGAUCAUUGGUGGGGUCAUGGGGUCGAUGGGUGACAUGGGUGGGUGGGGUCAUGGGAUCAUCAGCAGCAUCCAUGGGAUCAGUGGGAUCAGUGGGAUGGAUGGGAUCAUCAGCGGCAUCCAUGGGAUCAGAGGUAUUGCUGGGAUGGAUGGGAUCAUCAGUGGGGUCAUG
ensembl:lncRNA